UGGGGAAUUUUGGACAAUGGGGGCAACCCUGAUCCAGCAAUGCCGCGUGUGUGAAGAAGGCCUUCGGGUUGUAAAGCACUUUUGUCCGGAAAGAAAACUUCGGGGCUAAUACCCCUGGAGGAUGACGGUACCGGAAGAAUAAGCACCGGCUAACUACGUGCCAGCAGCCGCGGUAAUACGUAGGGUGCGAGCGUUAAUCGGAAUUACUGGGCGUAAAGCGUGCGCAGGCGGUGCUGUAAGACCGAUGUGAAAUCCCCGGGCUUAACCUGGGAACUGCAUUGGUGACUGCAGCGCUGGAGUAUGGCAGAGGGGGGUGGAAUUCCACGUGUAGCAGUGAAAUGCGUAGAGAUGUGUAGGAACACCGAUGGCGAAGGCAGCCCCCUGGGCCAAUACUGACGCUCAUGCACGAAAGCGUGGGGAGCAAACAGG
rnacentral:rRNA from 1 species